GACGUAGGGUCCAAGCGUUGUCCGGAUUUACUGGGCGUAAAGAGCGCGUAGGCGGUCUGUUAAGUGUAGAGUGAAAUCUCCAGGGCUCAACCCGGAAACUGCUCUGCAUACUGGCAGACUGGAGUGGAUGCAGAGGUUUGUGGAAUUCCUGGUGUAACGGUGAAAUGUGUUGGAUAUCAGGAGGAACACCCGAUGGCGAAGGCAGCAAACUGGGCAUUAACUGACGCUGAGGCGCGAAAGCGUGGGUAGCAACAGG
rnacentral:rRNA from 1 species